GAAGGGGGCAAGCGUUGUUCGGAAUGACUGGGCGUAAAGGGCGCGUAGGCGGUUCGUUGCGUCAGAUGUGAAAGCCCCGGGCUCAACCUGGGAACUGCAUUUGAUACGGGCGGGCUUGAAUCCAAGAGAGGGUGGUGGAAUUCCCAGUGUAGAGGUGAAAUUCGUAGAUAUUGGGAAGAACACCAGUGGCGAAGGCGGCCACCUGGCUUGGUAUUGACGCUGAGGCGCGAAAGCGUGGGGAGCAAACAGGAUUAGAUACCCUGGUAGUCCACGCCGUAAACGAUGUGUGCUAGCCGUCGGGCAGCUUGCUGUUCGGUGGCGCAGCUAACGCGAUAAGCACACCGCCUGGGGAGUACGGUCGCAAGAUUAAA
rnacentral:rRNA from 1 species